CCUACGGGAGGCAGCAGUGAGGAAUAUUGCUCAAUGGGCGAGAGCCUGAUCCAGCCAAGUCGCGUGAGUGCAGACGGUCCUAUGGAUUGUAAACCUCUUUUGCCGGGGAGCAAAAAACGGUACGUUUACCACAUCGACAGUACCCCUAGAAACAACCUCGGCUAACUCCGUGACAGCACCCGCGGUAAUACGGAGGAUGCGAGCGUUAUCCGGAUUUAUUGGGUUUAAAGGGAGCGUAGGUGGAUUGUUAAGUCAGUUGUGAAAGUCUGCGGCUCAACCGUAAAAUUGCAGUUGAAACUGGCAGUCUUGAGUACAGUAGAGGUGGGCGGAAUUCGUGGUGUAGCGGUGAAAUGCUUAGAUAUCACGAAGAACUCCGAUUGCGAAGGCAGCUCACUGGACUGCAACUGACAUUGAGGCUCGAAAGUGUGGGUAGCAAACAGGAUUAGAUACCCGGGUAGUC
rnacentral:rRNA from 1 species